GGAGGGUAGCGCCCGUCGGAGGGCAACACGUCUUAAAAACGUGGCCAUGCUCAUCACAGCAUGAGGGUUCGAUUCCCUUACCUUCCG
rnacentral:tRNA from 1 species